rnacentral:lncRNA from 1 species
CCUCAACAUAAAGCCGCUGGCAGGUUAGGCGAACCUAAGAAAAUGCGCUGUCAUACUUAAAAAGCAAAAAACUGCCAGAUAGUUGUACCCCGUUAGCCACCGAUGAGGAAUUAACCGAGUACAGCAUACCGGAGGGGAAGAACUAGCGUUACCAACACGGGAGCGGGUCAGAGGCAGGGUAGGAAGAGGAGAGUGUGUGGUUGUCUGAGAACACCCCCAGCUCCUCCCCAUAUCUCUCUAGUCUUCAAGGAAACACGACUCGAGUUUGAAAUUUUCAGUAGCCAAAUCCGGAGGCGACAGCAAGUUUUUGGGGUUUGUUUUGAUCUUUGCCUGCGUCAAAGAUGAUUGCAAAUCUAAUUUAAUUAAUCGCGCAAUUAACAUUUAGUUUGCUUAGUUUUGUGAUACAACAGAACUCGAAUUCUGAAUGAAAACGGG